rnacentral:Y_RNA from 1 species
GGCUGGUCCGAUGGCAGUGGGUUAUCAGAACUUAUUAACAUUAGUGUCACUAAAGUUGGUAUACCACCCCCCCCCACUGCUAAAUUUGAUUGGCUUUAA